GUGAACGCUGGCGGUAGGCCUAACACAUGCAAGUCGAACGGCAGCACAGUAAGAGCUUGCUCUUACGGGUGGCGAGUGGCGGACGGGUGAGGAAUACAUCGGAAUCUACUUUUUCGUGGGGGAUAACGUAGGGAAACUUACGCUAAUACCGCAUACGACCUACGGGUGAAAGCAGGGGAUCUUCGGACCUUGCGCGAUUGAAUGAGCCGAUGUCGGAUUAGCUAGUUGGCGGGGUAAAGGCCCACCAAGGCGACGAUCCGUAGCUGGUCUGGGAGGAUGAUCAGCCACACUGGAACUGAGACACGGUCCAGACUCCUACGGGAGGCAGCAGUGGGGAAUAUUGGACAAUGGGCGCAAGCCUGAUCCAGCCAUACCGCGUGGGUGAAGAAGGCCUUCGGGUUGUAAAGCCCUUUUGUUGGGAAAGAAAAGCAGCAGGUUAAUACCCCGCUGUUCUGACGGUACCCAAAGAAUAAGCACCGGCUAACUUCGUG
rnacentral:rRNA from 1 species